UGCUGACAAAACCCGACCCUAAUAGCUUGCUAUGACGAGGACGUGAUGUUUUGCUACAUUUUCUAUAGAUGUUACAACACUUGUGUUUUAACCAAUCAUUCCCUCAAGGGUGUGCCUAUUCAAGCUGAUGGUGAUGGAGGGACAUGGUAGAGAACGGCGUCAUAGAGGAAGACGUUCUCGUGUGGUGAGAUAUCUCGUUCAUAGUCAUUUUGUUUUAAGGUUCUCCCAAAUCUUAAAACGUUUUACUCAACAUUUACAACCACAUGUCGAGCUAGACUUAUAACUACGCCUUGGAGCUGGUCCUCCUUGCCAGCCUUACCAAGCUGGAGGUUAACAUUGCUGGAAUCAACAAUAGCUUUUAUUUAGUGGCGGGGCUUCAAUCAACAAUAGGUUAUGUCCAUGUCAGAAG